rnacentral:lncRNA from 10 species
GGGGUUACCUGCCCUGAGCAGAGACAGAUGGGAGAUUUCAGUCAUCAUUAAGGCUUAUUGACCAGCAAGGCUGGAAUUUCCCAGAGAGAGGAAGUAAUCUCUCUGCUGACUGAGAGCAGACAUCCUGCUGGGAGUAGUUACAUAAAUUCUGUUGCUCAAAUUAAUUAGGAUUGUGAUUCAUUUGUUUAAUGAGGAAGAAUCUGAUGAUGGCAAGAGUCAAGCCAGCCUGGCCUUUCAGAGCCCAGCCAAUCCCAGGUGAC